rfam:Marine metagenome 1096626663982, whole genome shotgun sequence.
GGCAGCACGGGAGAGCGACCUGUUGGCUGGCAGUCAAAGCAACCCUUGGCACGAGCGAUUGUCAGGGGUAGCUUUCUGCGCUUUUCAAAAAUCGGAAGAAUUUUGUACCUUUUGAGACGAAGGUUUGUAUACCGAGGAACGUGUUUAAACGGAUACCGCAUCGCUCGAGAAGAACAUCGUUCUUCUCGCGGUUCCGUGGUCCCG